GCCUGUGUAGUGCCUCCCCGUCUCCUCCUCAUGGCCCCUCUGUGCUGCCCCAUCUCAGAGACCAGGGUUUGGAGUCAGGGUGGGGAAUGGAGCCAAGGCCAUGGUCAGGGAGCGGCCAUGCCCAAGUCAUGCUGUGGCUGUCAGUUUCCACGAGAGUGCCCUCAGGACGGAGCUGCCUCCACUUGGCUGAACAUGCUGUGUGCUCAGGACAUGACGACAAGGGCAACACCCCCAGAACAUUCUAGCAAACGGAGCCCCCCCGUGGGGGAAUGAGGCCGAUUUCCCGUGGUCAGUGGGUGUGCAGCCCUCCUGGGCGGCCACGUUCCGGCGGACAGCCCGUGCUUGGCUGUAGAAGUUGUCACGUCAUCUGCCCCACAUCCUCCUCCUGGGCCUGCACCGCCUCGACUGUGAUGGGGGCCCCGCCACCCUGAUCCUCACACACGGAAGACCGUGCUGCACUGUCCUCUGGAUGAAACCACCCAAGGCAGGUGGGACCAAGGCGAUGGAGACGGAAGCCCCGCCCCGCGCCUACACGGCCUGACCUCUGAACUGAGAAUGAGGGCAGUGAGGACCCCUGUCCUGCUCUCCCUCCUCCCUCCCAGGCCUCCCUCCUGGGCCACUCCUUUUAGAAGAUGCAGGGAGGCAGGAGCGAGGCCAGGGCAGAAGCUCUUGGGCCACCAGCCACCGUGCCUGGCCAAGCUCUCUGGUCAGCCUCACACAGCGAUGGAGGCCGCAGAAGGUAAGGGGCUGGCCCCAGGCCCCACAGCUGGGAUUGUACCUGGAGCGAGCCAGACUGUGCAGGGCCCUGGGCCAGUUGGCACCUGCAUCCACCCCUGCCAGCCCACCUGUCCUGGGCUCCUCCGCUGACCCCAGAGGCCCUGAGAAUGGCCAUCGCCUGGGCCUGGAGGAGCAGCAG